CACGUAGGGGGCGAGCGUUGUCCGGAUUUAUUGGGCGUAAAGAGCUCGUAGGCGGCUCAGUAAGUCGGGUGUGAAAACUCCAGGCUCAACCUGGAGACGCCACCUGAUACUGCUGUGGCUAGAGUCCGGUAGGGGAGCAUGGAAUUCCUGGUGUAGCGGUGAAAUGCGCAGAUAUCAGGAGGAACACCGAUGGCGAAGGCAGGUCUCUGGGCCGAUACUGACGCUGAGGAGCGAAAGCGUGGGGAGCGAACAGG
rnacentral:rRNA from 1 species